rnacentral:lncRNA from 1 species
CCUUUCCUGUUGUUGGGUGAUCUCGGUCACUUCCUUUACCCACCCGGGCCUCAGUCUCUCUGCUGUCAAAUGGGCCACCCUGAAGAGUACACCCAUUUCCCAGGGUGAAACCUCAGAGGGGCCGUAAGAGGUUUCUGUUCCAGUGAAGAAUGUUAAAAUGCUUCACAAAGAUGCCCUGUGUGCUAGGAGGCGGCACUGCCAGUUGUGCGGGGGUGACAGAUCAGAGACGGUGUCUCUAGAGGACCUCUUAGGGCAGGAAGGAGUGUCUGACGAAGCUCAAGGAAGGCUGGGCAGGAGCGUGGGCUUUGGGGCUGGGAUUUCUGAGUUCUGGCCUGUCCCCCUGCCACCUCCUGUCCAAGUGGCCCAGGCACAGUCUCCCACCUCUGCCAGGGCCCCUCAGGGAAGCUGGGCACACCCUAACAGUUCUGUGUGCCCUCUCUGGCCGCCCCCCCCACCAGCAGGCAGCCCAGGUCCCCUGCCUCUCCCAGCCCGCCUGCCUUGUGCGGCUUGGGACCAUUUCACAAAAUCAUUUGUAUUUGGCCCCUAUGGCAACCUCCUGAGGCAGGAAUGAGGGUUUUGUUUGACAGAGAAGGAAACUGAGGCUCUUACCUGGAGCCCAGAGCAAGGACCUGGCCAGGGCUGCCACCUCCAGGUGGGGGCUUUUCCACUGCCCCUCGCUGCUGGGUUCUUCUGGCUCCUUCUCCAGGAGAUUUCCUGCCAUGGAUUCAAAAGACAAAUUUUAUUGUUCUUUCCUUUUAAAAUCAGGGUGUCCCCAUCCCAGGGUUUCUUUCUGCCUCCCAGGUGUGUGGUGGGGCCUUGGUCCAACAGGGUGCGACACUUGGGAAUCCCAUGGAGCGUGGUAAGGAGAGCAGUGGACAGGUAUCAAAGGCCCGGAUUCUAGUCCUCCACCAGGGACACUUUCCCUUUGGUCCGUUGGUGUCCUGCUGGGGAUGGAUGCUCAGUGGAUGGUCAGACAUUUGCAAUAGGUGCCGUGGGGUUCAUUGGUAUGUGCUAAGCUCAGAGUAAGAGCCUGGCCCAAGGUCACACGAGGCCUCCACAUUCUUUCUGUUGUCCACGUGACCUCUGUACUGGGGGCUGCAGAGAGUGUGGAUGGAAAGAACUGAAGUGGGAGGCAGGAUGAAAUGACUGAAUCUCCUCAUUACUUUUGGCAGUUGUUUGGAGUCUCUGGUUGUGUUGUCUUAUGUGUCAUGUGUAGCUUCGUGGCAUUGUCAAGUUGUGCUUUUUUUUGUUUUUUGAGACAGGGUCUCACCCUGUCUCCCAGGCUGGAGUGCAGUGGUGCGAUCUUGGCUCACUACAACCUCUGCCUCCCAGGCUCAAGCAAUUCUCCUGCCUCAGCCUCCUGAAUAGUUGGGACUACAGGUGUAUGCCACCGUGCCUGGCUAAUUUUUGUAUUUUUGGUAAAUGGGGUUUUUUGUUUGUUUUUUUUUCUUUUUCUUUCUUUCUUUUUUUUUUUUUUUUUUUGAGAUGGAGUCUCGCUCUGUUGCCCAGGCUGGAGUGCAGUGGCGCGAUCUCGGCUCACUGCAAGCUCCGCCUCCCAGGUUCACACCAUUCUGUAAUCCCAGCUACUCAGGGGGCUGAGACAGGACAGUCACUUGAGCCCGGGAGGUGGAGGUUGCAGGGAGCCAAGAUCAUACCAUUGCACUCCAGCCUGGGUGAUAAGAGUGAAACUCCGUCCCCUGCCGCCCCGCCCCCCCACCCCAACAAGAAAAACAAGAUCUGAAAUGCUCCAGAAUCCAAAACAUUUUGAGCACCAAAAUGAUGUUCAAAGGAAGUGUUCAUUGGAGCAGUCUAAAUUUCAGAUUUUUGGAUUGGGGAUGCUCAGCUAGUAUAUAUAAUGCAAAUAUUCCAAAAUCCUAAAAAAAUUCGAAGUCUGAAACACUUCUGGUUCCAAGCAUUUCGGAUAAGGAAUGCUCUGCCUGUGUGUGGUUGUAGGUAAGCCUCUUCACCUGUAAAAUGGGUAUGAAGAGAAUACCCGCUCUCCUUAAUGUAAUAAGACCCACCAGGCAGGAUAUUGGAAGCCAGAAAGUCAGGAUUCUUGGUCCACUUGUAUGUGGUCCAUGUCAAGCGUCCUUGGCCACUCCUGAUUAAAACCCAUGGAGGCUUUCGCCAGAGGGGGUGGGCCUCCCUUCAUGCAGUGGGCAUGUUCCAUUGGGUUUGGCAUGAAUUGAGCCUAGGAAGGGAAGUAACAUCUCCUGGACGUCUGUGUGCCAGGCUGUCUGCCCAGUGUGCCUCACAGAUGAAUAUACUCCAUCCACAUACUAAGCCUACAGGGCAGGUGUGUUCGUUAUCUCUUCCCCUCUAACAUGGCAACUCAAAGCAAUAAACAUUGAUUAUUUCACAUGG